rnacentral:rRNA from 1 species
CCUACGGGUGUCUGCAGUGGGGAAUAUUGGACAAUGGGCGAAAGCCUGAUCCAGCCAUGCCGCGUGUGUGAAGAAGGCCUUCGGGUUGUAAAGCACUUUCAGUGGGGAAGAAAGCCUUGGGGCUAAUACCCUCGAGGAAGGACAUCACCCACAGAAGAAGCACCGGCUAACUCCGUGCCAGCAGCCGCGGUAAUACGGAGGGUGCGAGCGUUAAUCGGAAUUACUGGGCGUAAAGCGCGCGUAGGCGGUCUGAUAAGCCGGUUGUGAAAGCCCCGGGCUCAACCUGGGAACGGCAUCCGGAACUGUCAGGCUAGAGUGCAGGAGAGGAAGGUAGAAUUCCCGGUGUAGCGGUGAAAUGCGUAGAGAUCGGGAGGAAUACCAGUGGCGAAGGCGGCCUUCUGGACUGACACUGACGCUGAGGUGCGAAAGCGUGGGUAGCAAACAGGAUUAGAUACCCCGGUAGUC